rnacentral:ncRNA from 1 species
ACAUAAGUAACGAUAAAGCGGGUGAAAAGCCCGCUCGCCGGAAGACCAAGGGUUCCUGUCCAACGUUAAUCGGGGCAGGGUGAGUCGACCCCUAAGGCGAGGCUGAAAAGCGUAGUCGAUGGGAAACAGGUUAAUAUUCCUGUACUUGGUGUUACUGCGAAGGGGGGACGGAGAAGGCUAGGCUAGCCGGGCGACGGUUGUCCCGGUUUAAGCGUGUAGGGGGUGUGACCUGGUAAAUCCGGUUGCAUAUCAACCCUGAGGCGUGAUGACGAUGCACUACGGUGCAGAAGUAGUUGAUGCCCUGCUUCCAGGAAAAUCCUCUAAGCUCCAGGUAACAUUAAAUCGUACCCCAAACCGACACAGGUGGUCAGGUAGAGAAUACCAAGGCGCUUGAGAGAACUCGGGUGAAGGAACUAGGCAAAAUGGUGCCGUAACUUCGGGAGAAGGCACGCUGGCAUGUAGGUGAAGUCCCUCGCGGAUGGAGCUGAAGCCAGUCGAAGAUACCAGCUGGCUGCAACUGUUUAAUAAAAACACAGCACUGUGCAAACACGAAAGUGGACGUAUACGGUGUGACGCCUGCCCGGUGCUGGAAGGUUAAUUGAUGGGGUCAGCCGCAAGGCGAAGCUCUUGAUCGAAGCCCCAGUAAACGGCGGCCGUAACUAUAACGGUCCUAAGGUAGCGAAAUUCCUUGUCGGGUAAGUUCCGACCUGCACGAAUGGCGUAAUGAUGGCCAGGCUGUCUCCACCCGAGACUCAGUGAAAUUGAACUCGCUGUGAAGAUGCAGUGUACCCGCGGCAAGACGGAAAGACCCCGUGAACCUUUACUAUAGCUUGACACUGAACAUUGAGCCUUGAUGUGUAGGAUAGGUGGGAGGCUUUGAAGCGUGGACGCCAGUCUGCGUGGAGCCAUCCUUGAAAUACCACCCUUUAAUGUUUGAUGUUCUAACUCGGCCCCGUAAUCCGGGGUGAGGACAGUGUCUGGUGGGUAGUUUGACUGGGGCGGUCUCCUCCCAAAGAGUAACGGAGGAGCACGAAGGUUAGCUAAUCACGGUCGGACAUCGUGAGGUUAGUGCAAAGGCAUAAGCUAGCUUGACUGCGAGAGUGACGGCUCGAGCAGGUACGAAAGUAGGUCUUAGUGAUCCGGUGGUUCUGAAUGGAAGGGCCAUCGCUCAACGGAUAAAAGGUACUCCGGGGAUAACAGGCUGAUACCGCCCAAGAGUUCAUAUCGACGGCGGUGUUUGGCACCUCGAUGUCGGCUCAUCACAUCCUGGGGCUGAAGUAGGUCCCAAGGGUAUGGCUGUUCGCCAUUUAAAGUGGUACGCGAGCUGGGUUUAGAACGUCGUGAGACAGUUCGGUCCCUAUCUGCCGUGGGCGUUGGAAGAUUGAGAGGGGUUGCUCCUAGUACGAGAGGACCGGAGUGAACGCACCACUGGUGUUCGGGUUGUCAUGCCAAUGGCAUUGCCCGGUAGCUAAGUGCGGAAAAGAUAAGCGCUGAAAGCAUCUAAGCGCGAAACUUGCCUCAAGAUGAGUCUUCCCUGGACCUUUAAGGUCCCUGAAGGAACGUUUAAGACUAAGACGUUGAUAGGCUGGGUGUGUAAGUGCAGCGAUGCAUUGAGCUAACCAGUACUAAUGAUCCGUGAGGCUUAACCUU